rnacentral:lncRNA from 1 species
AUAUGAUUAAUCAGGUCCUGUUUCAACUUUUGAGCACAUACUUCUUUAUAUAGCAGAAGAAGUAAAAGAAGAAAAUAGUAUUGAAAUUUUAAAGUAUUUCUUGUCUUUGUGUUUGUUGUCAUUAGCAAAUAUGGGUUCUAGAAAUUAAACUGUAACUUAUGUUCUCCAGCAUCUUUAGAACAAAGAAUUCCAAGUUCAUAAGAAUACUGACUUUGAAUAAUGUUAUUUAUAUACCUUUUCUCUUACAGUAAGGAGUCUGCCAAAGAUCUAGGCCUUUGUUAAUAUUAGCUGAGAAUUUGUCUGGAAAACUCUAUGUUCAAUUACACCAGUGGUUAAAUUGGAUUUGGUACAUUUUACAGUCAGGCAUACAGAAUAGACUUAGGUCUAUUCAGGAUACGCUCUUGGGUUAAUUACUAACAUUUGAAACACGUUUUGUUAUAUUACCUUAUAUAACACAUUUCCAUGUACACUAAGGAAAUCUAUGAAUUUCCUUAAAUUAUUAGGUAAUGUUAACCUUAAAAAAAUAAAAAUUAUUUUUAAAAUACCUUAAAAUAUUAUGUAGCCAAAGUCUUCAUUUUGUAAUUAAUUGAAAAAAAUAAGCCACUUUGUUAUCACUAUCAGUUAUUUAUCAAGGAUGGGACUGUGUGUGAGUGGAAAAAUAUUAGCAUAAUAUGCACAAAGCCCUGGUUAAACCAACUAGCAUUUCUUUUAGCCAUAAAGGACCUGGUUGAUAUGAUAAUAUGCAUUUUUAAUGUAAUUCAGUAAAAAUCACUUAGUGUCAUUCCCCCCCCCCCUUGAAAAAAAAACAACAACUAGCAUUGCAGAUGCUAUUGAAGCAUGAUGCUGUAAUCAGUUCAUACGUGUUUUUAAGUAAGAUGACUCAGUGAGUAAAGAAGCUUGGUGUGCAGGCCAGAGGACCCAAGUCUGAGCCCUGAACCCACGCUGGACAGAGAGCGCCAGCUUCCCAAAGUGCUCCUCUGAGUGCCACACGCGCAUAAAGCACACCACAAAUAGUAAUGUUUCAGAUAAAAGAGAAAUUUAAAUGAUACGUCAUUAUUGAUAGUCUUUACAUUUUUUGUGGUUGGAGUACAAUUGAGGAUUUUUUUUCUCCUUUCACUGUGUGACUCUUAGGCAUUGAGUCUCAGGCUUCCUGGCUCAACAGCAAGUGCUAUACCAAGCUGACAAGCCUCACUAUUGAUGUGCUUACGUUUAACGUCUGUAUGUACCAAGGUGUAAUAAGCACAUCAGCUAAAGUGCUGGAGGCCAACCUAGAUACCGUAGCAAGCGCACAGUUACAAAGGAAAAAGAAACAAAGCACAAACAAAACCCUGGCUAGGGCCUAUCUGUGCUUAUGCAUACUCUGGGUUCAAUUUCCAGUAC